rnacentral:rRNA from 1 species
AUUGAACGCUGGCGGCAGGCCUAACACAUGCAAGUCGAACGAGUGGCGGACGGGUGAGUAAUGUCUGGGAAACUGCCCGAUGGAGGGGGAUAACUGCUGGAAACGGUAGCUAAUACCGCAUACCAUCGGAUGUGCCCAGAUGGGAUUAGCUAGCAGGUGGGGUAACGGCGCACCUAGGGGACGAUCCCUAGCUGGUCUGAGAGGAUGACCGGCCACACUGGAACUGAGAAACGGUCCAGACUCCUACGGGAGGCAGAAGUGGGGAAUAUUGCACAAUGGGCGAAAGCCUGAUGCAGCCAUGCCGCGUGUAUGAAGAAGGUCUUCGGGUUGUAAAGUACUUUCAGCGAGGAGGCGUUACUCGCAGAAGAAGCACCGGCUAACUACGUGCCAGCAGCCGCGGUAAUAC